GUGGAGUAGUCUCUGGAAGGUCCAUCCUUUUAUCUUAUCUCCAAACUUUGUCUCUGUAACUCCUUCCAUGGGUAUUUUGUUUCCUAUUCUAAGGAGGAAUGAAGUAUCCACACGUUGGUCUUCCUUCUUAUUGAUUUUCUUGUGUUUUGCAAAUUGUAUCUUGGGUAUUCUAAGUUUCUGGGCUAAUAUCCACUUAUCAGUGAGUGCAUAUCAAGCGACUUCUUUUGUGUUGGGUUAUCUCACUCCAGAUUAUAUCCUCCAGAUCCAUCCAUUUGCCUAGGAAUUUCAUAAAUUCAUUGUUUUUAAUAGCUGAUUAGUACGCCAUUGUGUAAAUGUAUCAUAUUUUCUGUAUCCAUUUCUCUGUUGAGAGACAUCUGGGUUCUUUCCAGCUUCUGACUAUUAUAAAUAAGGCUGCUAUGAACAUAGUGGAGCAUGUGUCCUUAUUACCGGUUGGAACAUCUUCUGGAUAUAUGCCAGGAGAGGUAUUGCUGGAUCUUCUGCGAGUACUAUGUCCAAUUUUCUGAGGAACCACUAGACUGAUUUCCCGAGUGGUUGUAUAAGCUUGCAAUCCCACCAGCAAUGAAGGAGUGUUUCUCUUUCUCCACAUCCUCGCCAGCAUCUGCUGUCACCUGAAUUUUUGAUCUCAGCCAUUCUUACUGGUGUGAGGUGGAAUCUCAGGGUUGUUUUGAUUUGCAUUUCCCUGAUGAUUCAGAAUGUUGAACAUUUUUUCAAGUGCUUCUCAGCCCUUCGGUAUUCCUCAGUUGAGAAUUCUUAGUUUGUUUUUUAAAAAAGUUGUUUUAUUAAGAAAUAUUCUCUGUCCUGGAGAUCUGACUCAGUAGGGAAAGUGUCUACUACAUAAUCACAAAGACCCAAGUUAAAUCCCUAGCAGCAACAUAGAAAGCUGGGUAGAAUUGCAUGUACCUAAAAGCUCAGCUCUGGGGAGUGGGAGAGAGGAGGAUCCUGUGGGCCUGCUGGCCAGCAAGUCUAGCCAAUUUGAUGAUGUGUGUGAGGUUGUGGUGGGGGUUGGGGGAGGCAUGUGGACACACAGCUGAGUCUCUAAGAAGGUCAACAGUUUUGCUCUACCAUAAGCUCCUGUUGUGCUGGUUUGCCUCACCACUCCUGAGGCACAAGCGAGCAACCUGACCUUGAACCAAGAGCUGUGAGUGAAGGAGCCAAAGUAUAGUUUUCCUUCUUCCAGCUAUUCAUAAAAACAUGUAGUCACUGUGAUUGAGGGCCGGCUCAUCUAGGCACCUUUGCUCUUUAUCAGUGUAGAAUAUUAACCUCUGCAGGUGCAGUGCUCCAUUCUUAAAUUGUAAUGAAGGUUACAGUGUUUUCAAAAUCUUUUCUAAAUAUUGCCGGCUUUAUCGUUGAAGGGAAUAUUUUAAUAAGUUCAUUUUGGGUUGUUAGAGAUUUUGAUCAUUUAUUACAUGUACUUAAGUGCAUCUUUGACAUUCAAAUGCUGCCAGCAAAGCUUGUUUGUAGAUGACUAAGGACGACUUGUACCCAAACAGGGAAAGGUUAUGCUUUACAUCAGCAGAUAAUUUUUUUUUUAACAUCUCAGCCUUUUGUUUCAAAUCAAAUUUAGGUUUGUGGUCCAAUUAGGGAUAGCAUAUGGUAUAGACAACAAAACAAUGACACUUUAGUAAAACUGAGAGGCUGGGAGCUGAAUUGAUUAUGCACUUUCCACCAGUUUCCCAUAUUUGUGAACAAAUCCUUGUGAGAGUGUUAACCUGAAUCUAAUAAUUGCUGUCUUCUGUAUUUGGCCACAUACUCCCACCACGGGCUGUGAACUUCAUUUUCUAGAACUGCCUUACUCUGACUGUUGGGUUUGUUGCUGUUGUUAUUGUUGUUGUUGUUGUUGUUGUUGUUAUUGUUGUUGUUAUUGUUGGUGGUGUAGUGAUGGUGUGUUUUGUCGGUUUUGGUUUUGCUAUCUGAAAUUAGUGAUUUCUAGUUAUUUGAGUAAAAAAAAAAUGAGGAGAAGGGUUAAGCUGUAGCCCAAAAGAAAGUAAUGGAAAUCAUGUUAAUACUAAGGGCAAUGACUUUUGUGUAUCAAAAGAGAAUGGGCAGCCUGGUUGUACUGUGGGUCUCUGCUCUAGUGGGGAGCUCCCUCAUUCCUAUAAAAGAUUCCACUGGAGCACUUUUGUCUACAUAGUCUUGGUCUAUGAGCAUUUCUACCACAGUCUUUUUUUUUUUUUUUUUUUUUGUCAGUCAGUAUAUUGCUUUCUGAAUGCAUAAAUAUUUAUUGACCCUACCUUAGUAUUUCUCUUGCUGUACAAACUUUACUUUUAUUUGAUUUAUUCUCAUUAUUUUUAUGGUGCUGUUCCUGUUAGCCUCCCUUUCGUUCCAUAAGGUGACAUCUCAUCUAGCGUUUUUCUUUGUAUGGAUGGUUUGGUGUGUGUGCAGAUGCACUUACAUGUUCAAGCACACAUUAGUAUGCAUGUGCUUAUGGGGGCAAGAGGAAAAUGUCACAUGGCAUGCCUGAGGCAUCUUCUGUCACCCAUCUUUCCCAUCUUUUCUUCUUUAUUCCCUCCCUUCCUUCCUUCCUUCCUUCCUUCCUUCCUUCCUUCCUUCCUUCCUUCCUUCUUCCCUCCCUCCCUCCCUCCCUCCCUCCCUCCCUCCCUCCCUCCCUUCCUUCCUUCCAUCUUACUUCCCUUGAAUCUGUCACUAGCCUGUUGGCAAGCUAGCUAUUAAGGCUCAGUGAUCCUUCUGUCUCUCUUCAUAGCUUGGAUUACAAGAGCAUUCUUUCACACUUUGCUUUUAUAUGUGAGGUCCAAGGACUUAGAUCUUUUGCUUGUUUUGCAACCACUUUAUUGACUAAGCUAUAUCUCUAGCCCCUAGCAUUUUUCUUUGAUUUUAACACCCCAAAUAUAAAUUUCUGUCCUAUAGAUAUUUAUAAAGCCAUCUUAAUAUCCAUGUUAAAAAUCUCGAUUAAUCCUAUGAAGUUUAAAUUAGUGCCCCUUGUCUUACAAUAAUUUAUCUCACAAUUGUAGUUUUUAAUUUUGUAUAAGUGUAGGUUCAUUUUCAUAUAUAACCAUUUAAUUAACAUAAUCAUCAUAUUUUGUAUUGUCCUGUAUAUUUAAAUAUUUUAUACAGUAAGGAUACUAUGAAAUAACUUUAAUUGACUAUAGAAGGGUAAUAGCACAUUUUAAAAGCACAUAUUGACUCUAAAAUCUAAGCUCUAUGUAGCACUUAUUAAAUAUAAAUUACUAAUUAGAACAUUCUAUAAAAUAUUGAUUGACUUGGUCGUUUUAAUUUGAACUUCAGACUCAGACUUCAAAUGUGGUCUUUUGAAUGUCAAGAAUAUCAAAUUGCAUUAUUAUAAAUUUUUGGACUAUUUAUCAGUGCAGUCUGUUAGCAACAUGAGCAUGCUUUUAACUGCAAAAUUUCAAGUCAGAACAGAUACAUACAACAAGUAAAAGUUCAGUCAUUCAUAAAAAUCCAAGAGUUUAUUGCACAAAUAAUAUCAUUUUUUUAUUCUGCUCAAAUCACAAGACUCUCUUGUUGGUAUUUUCAAGGCUUGUCACCAUAUGGUGACAGUUGGGUCAAUCUGUGCAGGUGUGCAACCACCCCUCUCAGAAUCAUUUAUCUGUCUUACCUCAUGGCCAGUCUGUAAAGUGAUUAGAAAUACUGAGCUAACAAAAGAACAUGGACUGGCUGAGUCUUAUGUGCACCCUACUAUAGCUGACAUAUC
rnacentral:lncRNA from 1 species